rnacentral:rRNA from 1 species
GUGCCUAACACAUGCAAGUCGAACGAGAAAUCUGUGGAAAAGAGGAUUCGUCCAAUUGUAAGCAGAGGACAGUGGCGGACGGGUGAGUAACGCGUGAGGAACCUGCCUUUCAGAGGGGGACAACAGUUGGAAACGACUGCUAAUACCGCAUAACAUAUAGAUGUCGCAUGGCAUUUAUAUCAAAGAUUUAUCGCUGAAAGAUGGGCUCGCGUCUGAUUAGAUAGUUGGUGGGGUAACGGCCUACCAAGUCAACGAUCAGUAGCCGGACUGAGAGGUUGAACGGCCACAUUGGGACUGAGAUACGGCCCAGACUCCUACGGGAGGCAGCAGUCGGGAAUAUUGCGCAAUGGAGGAAACUCUGACGCAGUGACGCCGCGUAUAGGAAGAAGGUUUUCGGAUUGUAAACUAUUGUCGUUAGGGAAGAUACAAGACAGUACCUAAGGAGGAAGCUCCGGCUAACUACGUG